UUCUGUUCAGCAGCCCCAGGAUUACUGUUAGCUGGUGGACACUCAUUUGAUACAGAAAUUCGAAGGAAAAAUAAAAAAUUUGGGGUACAAGACCAUAAAGGUCCAUGGGGUAAAGAAAAGGUGUAAAGGCUGACGGCGGAAGCGACUCGUGGAUCUCAAGUGUCCAUGAGACUCCAUUCCCACAGGAACAGUUGACAUGGAUAACUCCUAUCAAGCAAGGAUGCUAUCCAUGACUCCUAGGUUCCGGGGUUGAUAUUAUCCUGUUCCUCUCCAAAUACGCAAUCUACCAAGACAAUAGCCAGGGCCAAGCCGGUGAGUACUCUGAAUGUACUCGCAAACAUCUUGAAAACAGAUAAGUUAAAGCAGGUGAGAUGCAUGCACUAAAAUCUUAAUAACUCUGGCAUGCCAUAAGAUUUAAAUUAUGGAUGCAAUUGUGUAGAUAAAUCAUUCAUACUGAUGAUGUAUAAACAAACAAGGUAAAGGGUAACAAUCAAUUUAAAUGUGUCGGUUGGCCGUCUAAGGCGACCCCUCGUAAGGACACUCAAUAUAAGCCACAGUCGCACGUCUGAGGGACGUCGCGUAGAGGGCUUAUAAUGAAAUAAUAACAGGUGUGCUCCAGCUGGGCGUCCGAAGCGACACCACAAAAAGGGGUUAUAUAAAAGUAAUAAGCGUUGCCACAGUCGGGCGUCUAAGCGACACCUUAUAAAUGGCUUAUAUGAAAUAAUAAAUGCAUGCCACAGUCGGGCAUCUCAACGACACGACAUACAAGGCUUAUAUGAAAUAAUAAUAGUUGCCACAAUCGGACGUCUGAGGGACUCUCAUAAAGUGAUUAUAUGAAAUAAUAAAUGUGUGCCACAGUCGGGCAUCUGAGCGACACUGCAUACACGGCUUAUAUGAAAUAACAAAAGUUACCACAGUCGGGCGUCUGAGCAACAACGCAUAAAGGGCUUAUAAUAUCAAUUACAAUGAUGAAUAUCCAGUACGUAGAACCAUCCCAGGGAUAUUCCUGAUCCACACACAAAAGGGGUUAAUCCACAACAAUAAAAUAUAGUCAUACACCUUGAGAUAUGGUUAUUCUCGUAGUUAAUCUAUUUCCUCGUAACACCCCCACUCAGACCAACACUUUACCUAUCUCAGAGUGUAGUCCUUAACCGCGGACACGACUAUCCGAAUAGGUAUAAAUCUCUGCAGAGGGUGUACUCUUUACCCACGAGUAACGAAUUUCUUUAGUCAAGCAGAAAUGUUAACUAAUUCCGAUUAUGGUCUUUGACUAGAAAACACACCUAACCUGCACAUGCGAGUUUAACUUCCCGAUGCCUCGGAUCGCCCACGUCACUCGUUAGGUUAGACUAUGAGUGGGAAUAUUACGAUCUCCACCUAGCAUGGGACCAAAUAUAUACCGCGUGCUACUAAGGGGUGCUCCCCUCUCAGCCCCAGGCCGAAAACCCACAUGCCCCCGGACCAUGUGGCAUGCAUACAAGUUGCAACUGGUAUCUUCCACAGUGGCCUCUCUAUACGGUGUGUGCAAGGAAAGGGGUCGACGAUUUACUCAAUGGCACCCUACCUGGUGCACUGACAAGUGGUAGCACAAAUCAAGUAUGGGGGUUACUGGCACAAGACUCGAUCUACGGUCGACUCUGUAGGUUUAAGUUUUUCUGCAAGGGUUAGCACCUCAAAACUCCUAAAUGUUGUUCAAUAGGGUUACCACCAUCACACCUCGAUAUGCCCUAACUGAUUAUUCUUGUCGCCACAAGAUAUCAGUUUCACGGUCACAUGUUUAUCAUGAAAAACCUUCCUCCAAGGUUAUCCAUACCCACAUGGCAUACGUGGCACGAGGCACUACCCACUCAUCACUAGCAUUAUAUUCUCAAUAUCAAGUAGUACCCAUCACAUGCUUUCAUGCAAAAUAUGUUGCUAUGAAGAGUUUUUAUCUAAGUAGCAUAACCAUGCAUCCAUUCAUUGCAGCAAGCCAUCACACACUUAAGACAAAUUGGGGUUCAAUAUGCUUGACUUUGGUAUCAAGAAGGGUGGUGUGCACCCCAAAAAUCUUGACAGAAUUAUUCCCUCCAUGUUUUCCUAUUUUUAAAAUACUGAAUCAACACACAUUGCCAAAACAGUGUAUAAAAGUUGUUUGAAUUUUAUUUAAAUAAAUCUGACAAUAAACUAGGCGAAAUUUGAGAACCGACGAAAAAAAGAAUCGAUUCAUUUCGAUUUCUAGUUUAAAAGUUAUAAGCAGUCAAAGUUUGGUCAAAAAUUUGUUUUUAAAUAAAAUAGAGAAGAAACAUUUUUCAAAACAAAUAUGUUAGCCUGCAACGAAACAUACUCACGAAGAAAGAGUAAUGCGAGGCAUGUGCCAUCAAGGCUAGGGCUGGCUCACCGACAAGUUGAACCCACCGGUCAAGUUCGUCUUCUUCCCCCUUGCGGGCACGGGCAGAGGGGAGGGACAACGCUGAUGGCAAUUUCUGGCGCUAGGAAGCACCAUUCCCGGAGCUGGGCACACCGGCGUCCUUGGGGGUAAGGGCCUCAUCCUCUGGAGGGCAUGUGAAUCGCCGUAGAGCUCGGGAGUGAGCACACGUCCGACCAAGGCAGAAGGGAGGCUCUGGCGCACUGGCUUCUGCCUACGGCUCGCUACCGAUGCGAUUUUGCAUUGGGGAUGGAUCCUAGGGGACGUGGUUGAGCUACUGGUGGCUAAGAUGGAGCGGCAGGGGCUCGGGAUUGCCGNNNN
rnacentral:lncRNA from 1 species